rnacentral:lncRNA from 1 species
GUUUUACGUAGUUCUCACAACAGCUCCGUGAGGAAGGAAGUAUGAUUGUUGUCCCCAUUGUACAGCUGAAAAGACUGAGGCUUGGGGCAGGUCAGUAAACCGCCUGUGGUCUCACUGAUAGCCAGUGGUCCAGAUGGAACUCGAAUUCAGUCUAGUUCUGUGGUUCCUGCUUUUUAACCACAUUCUCCUGCCCCGGGGAAGAGAAGCUGUGUGGAGCACCUGCAAUGCACCUGGCACUUAACACACAUUAUCUCAUUUAAUCCUAGUCACCUGGGAGGUUGAUGUUUAUCUCCUUUUUACAAAGGAGGCUACUGAGGCCCAGAGAGGUGGAGCGACCUGCCCCAGGCCCACAGCAUAGGAGUGAAAGUGGCAUUCAGGCAGGGCUUGAUCCAAGCAGCGUCCAUCCAGCAGCAGCGUCCUGUUGCUUCCAGGUGACGUCUUGGGCUCUGAGGCGCUUUCCCGCCCUCUGCCGAUGUCCUGUCAUUCUGCCCUCAGCCUGCUCCCAGGUCCACAUCUCCCCCGGAAAAGCAGAGCCCUGGGAUCCCAGGCCCCAGCGGACUUCCCACGCAGCCCGGCUGCCAGUCACGAGGCGCCACGACAAGUCUGUCAGGAGUCCUACGACAGCAGUCUUUCACCUCCUGGCCUUUAGAGGAAUGACGACUACUUGCUGUCUUACAGUCAGAUUUUUUUUUAAUUUGUUUUUCCUAAAGGGGAAAACUGAAAGCCUUUCUGAUUCCACUCAGUCCCUGGAGGGAGGCUGGCGAGCAGAGGGCUAUUUGGCUGGGUGCUCCUCUCCCGCGUGGCCCGACUCCUCGGAGCUGGAUGGCAGAAUCAGAGGAGCGGGUCGCCGGCCACCUCGUUGGUCCGAUGUGUUCCCGUGAUGAGACUUGUGGCCUCACGACACUGCAGAGGAAGAACAGAGGGAACACCUGUCUUUGUAAGUCACUUAGACUGGUUCCCUCUGUGAGGUUAUGCCACCAACUGGACACACUGUUCAGGCUCAUUUGUUUCAUUUAACCCUGGGUUUUAGGAAUUCAUUUUAAAUUAAAUUUCGUCAUAUCAUUAUGUAAAAUAUGUUUCUAUUUCCUAAGCCAAAUAUAUGGAAAAAGGUACAGUCAAAGAAGUCCAGUUUCUGUCCCUGGCCCUCCGCCUGGGUCGCUCUCUGCCCCUGAGGAGAAGCAUUUUAAAAUUAUGGUUUACUUUUCCAUCAUUUUUCCAAAUAUAAACAUACAUAGAUAUGAUAUGUAUACACAUAUGUACGUGCAUAUAUAUGUCUCUAUGUACUUGUGUGUGUGCAUGUGUACAUAUAUAAUGCUUUGUUUUUAUUUAUUGUGUAUCUUUUUUCUUUACUUUGUAAUAUAUAUGCACAUGUGUGUGCGUAUGUGUGCGUGUGUCACAUCCUUCCUUUCUUAGGUGGCUACUGGCUUCCUACACACUUUGUCCACCUUGCACUUUUCACCCAACAGUGCACCUGGGGCCUCCUUGGGUGCGAGGGGAGCUCUCGCCCUCCUUUCCACAGCUGCGCUGGACCCCUUUGGCGGCUGCACCCUUGUUUCUCUAGCCAGCCCCCCACUGAUGGGCUUUUGAGGUGUUUCCUGUCCUUUGUCCUAUUUGAUAGGCUGAUUUUUUAAAUUUGCUUUUGUAUCUUUUUUCUUUACUUUUUAAACUUACUUAUUUAGUUAGUUUAGAUUCAUCUCUUAUAGUUAUAGAUUAGACUUUAUUAAUUGCUCCCUGGAAAAAUCUUUCUCUUCUAGUAGGUGUGUUAAGGCCAUUUGUGUUUACUGCUGUGACUGAUACGUUUGGCUUCGGUUUUGUCACAUGAUUUUAUAUUUAUAUAAAGUCAUAUACAUAUGCGUCUAGGUAUUUUAUUUAUAUAUAUUUCCUUUUGGUCUAUUUUACUUGAGUCUCUUGUCUCUGUCUCUCUCUCUCAGUAUACAUUUUUGUAUUUAGGAACUCUAGUGUUUGCAUUUUUGUUCUAACAGUUACCUUUAUAAAUUUACGUAAUUCCCUCAAUUCUUUCUCUUUCUCUCCUUCCUUCCUCUCUGUUACUAUCUAUUGGGUCCCACAAGCAACAAUACUGAACUUUCUAGUAACUUCUUUCCCUCUCCCCCCUCUCACCAACACGUCCUUUUAUUCUCAAUAAAUAUCUAGAAGGCAAUAGGUGAGCUCA